GAAUUUUGGCCAUUCCAACAAGAGGGUCGGUGUUCCCGAGAAAAAGCACCCUCCCAAUUCAAUUCAAAACAAACACACACACACUUGAAUUCGCAAAUCAGAGAAGGAUUUAGAGUGAUGGUGUCGUACAUGAACGUGUUGUUGUACGGAGUGGGAGGUUUAGUGGUGGCCGGAAUGGCGCUGCUGGUGGCGUUUCAGGAGAAGCUCGUCUACGUGCCGGUGCUGCCUGGUCUCUCCAAGGCUUACGCCAUCACUCCCUCGCGACUCAGGCUCACCUACGAGGACAUCUGGCUCACCUCCUCCGACGGCGUUCGCCUCCACGCCUGGUUCAUCAAGCUCUUCCCUAACUGCCGAGGGCCUACCAUUUUAUUUUUUCAAGAAAAUGCUGGAAAUAUUGCUCAUCGUCUUGAAAUGGUUCGCAUAAUGUUACAGCAGUUACAAUGCAAUGUUUUCAUGCUUUCCUACCGAGGCUAUGGAGCAAGUGAUGGCUAUCCUUCUCAGCAUGGAAUUACUAAGGAUGCUCAGGCUGCACUGGAUCAUCUUUGUCAAAGGUCUGACAUUGAUACAUCUAGAAUAGUUGUAUUUGGAAGAUCACUUGGGGGUGCAGUUGGAGCUGUACUAACAAAGAAUAACCCUGACAAGGUUGCUGCACUGAUACUGGAAAAUACUUUCACAUCUAUUUUGGAUAUGGCUGGAGUUUUAUUACCUUUUCUGAAAUGGUUUAUUGGCGGCAGUAGUUCAAAAGGCAAGAUACUCAAUUUUCUUGUACGUUCUCCAUGGAGCACUAUUGAUGUUGUUGGUCAGAUCAAGCAGCCCAUUCUUUUUCUCUCCGGAUUGCAAGAUGAGAUGGUCCCCCCAUCACAUAUGCAGAUGCUUUAUGCAAAGGCAGCUACUCGUAAUAAUCGAUGUCUUUUUGUGGAAUUUCCUACCGGAAUGCAUAUGGAUACUUGGCUUGCUGGUGGUGAUCAAUAUUGGAGAACAAUUCAGCAGUUUCUAGAACAGCAUGCCCCAGUGAAAAAGGAAGUUGAAUCGUCCCAAAAUGAAAAUGGUUCUGAUCAUGUUAGGCAUGAGAUGGACGAGAACGCAAGGGUGGAAGUUGAACAUGCGUGUUAUAUUUAUAGUUCCUGUAACGAUGUUCCACCCAUUCGUGGAACUGCCCUACAAAAUUCUGGAUGUAUACACAAGCAACAUUUAUCUGAGGGGGAAGUCCUGUUUGAUUUGUGCUCUGCCAAAACCAAACAAUCUCCAGACGCCUAACGCAAUUUUAAGAGCCGUAUAACAUUGCUCGAGAGUCUGAGACGACCUCAAGAAUGAAGCUGAAUUUACACACUACAGUCAACGGUCAACGUGGUCUUCUAGUUUCAUUCCGUAUAAAGAUAUUGGGAUUCCUGAUAGGUUGCACCUUAGGGGUGAGUGGAGCAUUACAUGUGGAAACAGGCUUUGACUUGAGGAAUGGAUUCUUUUCGCACUUUCCCAUUCCGUUAGCAAGCAACCAGCGGGAACCAGAUU